rnacentral:rRNA from 1 species
CCUACGGGAGGCAGCAGUGGGGAAUAUUGGGCAAUGGCGGAAACUCUGACCCAGCAAUGCCGCGUGAAUGAAGAAGGUCUUCGGAUUGUAAAGUUCUUUUGUCAGGGAAGAAUAAAUUGACGGUACCUGAAGAAUAAGCUCCGGCUAACUACGUGCCAGCAGCAGCGGUAAUACGUAGGGAGCAAGCGUUGUUCGGAAUGACUGGGCGUAAAGGGUGCGUAGGCGGUUAUACAAGUUAGAAGUGGAAUACACGGGGCUUAACUCGGAUGCUGCUGCUAAAACUGUAAGACUGGAGUGCAGUAGAGGUUAGUGGAAUGCCUAGUGUAGCGGUGGAAUGCGUAGAUAUUAGGAAGAACACCAGAUGCGAAGGCGGCUAACUGGACUGCAACUGACGCUGAGGCACGAAAGUGUGGGGAUCAAACAGGAUUAGAUACCCCUGUAGUC